rnacentral:rRNA from 1 species
CGGCGAACGGGUGAGUAACACGUGGGCAACCUGCCCCUCACACUGGGAUAACCUCGGGAAACCGGGGCUAAUACCGGAUACGACCUCGAGCGGCAUCUCUUGAGGUGGAAAGCUCCGACGGUGAGGGAUGGGCCCGCGGCCUAUCAGCUAGUUGGUGGGGUAAUGGCCCACCAAGGCGACGACGGGUAGCCGGCCUGAGAGGUCGGCCGGCCACAUUGGGACUGAGACACUGCCCAG